rnacentral:rRNA from 1 species
GCGUGAGUAACCUGCCUUUCAGAGGGGAAUAACCCUUUGAAAAGAAUGCUAAUACCGCAUGAGAUCGUAGUAUCGCAUGGUACAGCGACCAAAGGAGCAAUCCGCUGAAAGAUGGACUCGCGUCCGAUUAGCUAGUUGGUGAGAUAAAGGCCCACCAAGGCGACGAUCGGUAGCCGGACUGAGAGGUUGAACGGCCACAUUGGGACUGUGACACGGCCCAGACUCCUACGGGAGGCAGCAGUGGGGGAUAUUGCACAAUGGGGGAAACCCUGAUGCAGCAACGCCGCGUGAAGGAAGAAGGUCUUCGGAUUGUAAACUUCUGUCCUCAGGGAAGAUAAUGACGGUUUCUGAGGAGGAAGCUCCGGCUAACUACGUGCCAGCAGCCGCGGUAAUACGUAGGGAGCAAGCGUUGUCCGGAUUUACUGGGUGUAAAGGGUGCGUAGGCGGAUCUGCAAGUCAGUAGUGAAAUCCCAGGGCUUAACCCUGGAACUGCUAUUGAAACUGUGGGUCUUGAGUGAGGUAGAGGCAGGCGGAAUUCCCGGUGUAGCGGUGAAAUGCGUAGAGAUCGGGAGGAACACCAGUGGCGAAGGCGGCCUGCUGGGCCUUAACUGACGCUGAGGCACGAAAGCAUGGGUAGCAAACAGGAUUAGAUACCCUGGUAGUCCAUGCCGUANACGAUGAUUACUAGGUGUG